rnacentral:rRNA from 1 species
CCCGUGCUUGCACGGGGGAUUAGUGGCGAACGGGUGAGUAACACGUGAGUAACCUGCCCUCCACUCUGGGAUAAGCGCUGGAAACGGCGUCUAAUACUGGAUAGGACACCUGCCUGCAUGGGUGUGGUGUGGAAAGAUUUUUUGGUGGUGGAUGGACUCGCGGCCUAUCAGCUUGUUGGUGGGGUAAUGGCCUACCAAGGCGACGACGGGUAGCCGGCCUGAGAGGGUGACCGGCCACACUGGGACUGAGACACGGCCCAGACUCCUACGGGAGGCAGCAGUGGGGAAUAUUGCACAAUGGGCGGAAGCCUGAUGCAGCGACGCCGCGUGAGGGAUGACGGCCUUCGGGUUGUAAACCUCUUUCAGCUCUGACGAAGCUUUUGUGACGGUAGGAGCAGAAGAAGCACCGGCUAACUACGUGCCAGCAGCCGCGGUAAUACGUAGGGUGCGAGCGUUGUCCGGAAUUAUUGGGCGUAAAGAGCUUGUAGGCGGUUUGUCGCGUCUGCUGUGAAAGCCCGGGGCUUAACUCCGGGUCUGCAGUGGGUACGGGCAGGCUAGAGUGUGGUAGGGGAGACUGGAAUUCCUGGUGUAGCGGUGGAAUGCGCAGAUAUCAGGAGGAACACCGAUGGCGAAGGCAGGUCUCUGGGCCAUUACUGACGCUGAGAAGCGAAAGCGUGGGGAGCGGACAGGGAUUAGAUACCCUGGUAGUCCACGCCGUA